UACGUAGGGGGCUAGCGUUGUCCGGAAUCAUUGGGUGUAAAGCGCGUGUAGGCGGUCCGGUAAGUCCGCUGUGAAAGUCGAGGGCUCAACCUCGAAUGCCGGUGGAUACUGUCGGGCUUGAGUACGGGAGAGGCGAGUGGAAUUCCUGGUGUAGCGGUGAAAUGCGCAGAUAUCAGGAGGAACACCGAUUGCGAAGGCAGCUCGCUGGAACGUUACUGACGCUGAGACGCGAAAGCGUGGGGAGCAAACAGG
rnacentral:rRNA from 1 species